rnacentral:lncRNA from 1 species
UUACAAUUUGAACAAUAGGGGCACAAGUUAUUUUUGAAAAUUUGAAUUAUUUAUGCUAAUAGAGGGAAACAUUGACAAGGAUAAUGCAAGAAUGGUAAAUUGCAAAUAACAUAUUUUAUUUUGCUCAAUAUUACUGUACUCUAUUUAAUCCAGGUGUUUGAUAAGUUGGGAGUUUAUAUCGUUUCCACUGAAACACAUUCUGAAUAUCUGAUUUAGGAAAUUCCCCAGCUUCCUAUCCUGUUUUAUCACUCGCCAAAGUCUUUCCUGUUACUGAUUCCAUGCUCAAGAGAGAUGCUGGAUUGGUUCUGACUGAUUCACUACAUCUGGAACUCACCUUAUCUCUUUGUCAGAAGAUUUGAGAACCUGAUCGACAGAUGCUCUCUAUUACUCCCCUCUAAUGUGAAUAAUUAGGAACUGACUGAACAAAUGAUUGUAUACCUGGAAGAUUUGAUGGUGGUUUCAGAUUUAAAGAUUUCAUUUCCAUCGAUAUGUCCUUGAUAUCAUUGUUACCAAAUGAAACUUUAGCUGUGUGAGUUCUAUGAAAUAAAAAAUAUAUUCAUUUUUGUAGUUUUUGUACC